GAUAACGCAAAUCCUCCUCGUAAUGCUCUACAUUUAAUCUAAUGAUAAGCAUAUUUAAAUAUAAACAUAACAAAAGUGUGAGUUAUUAAAUAAGUAGCGCGUAAUCUCCAAAAACUGCUUAAUCCUUCUGUAAUUUAUGAAGUCUCUUUUAGAAGGGAUACAGCUGCGGCCAGAGGUGACGAGCAUUAUACAUAUUGUUUAUUAAAUUAUCCAUUAAAUUAACCCAAACUCUACACCUAACCGUCACAGUAAAGUCAAAAUAUUAAUUAUUGUUGUACAGUCUCACAAGAAUUAUAUGAGUAUCCGCAGCUGUAUCCCAUCAAAACUUUACCCGGAACUGUGCUGUUAGCGGAUGAACGUCUUCCGGUGUGGCGGGAGGAGAAGAUCCGCGUGGGAGAAGAGUCCAGCAGAGAGGUGACUGUGUUCCUGCUGCGUGUGGAUGAUCUGCUCCUCUGUCAAUCAUGUGAACAUCUGCAGGAUCACACACACACACACACACACACACACACACACAAAAAUGAAAUGCAACAUCUAAAAAAAACUGGUUUAAGCAGAAUAAUGCAUGCGGGAUGGUGGAUUAUUAGAGAAUAAUAUACACCUGAGGGGUAACGGCAUCACCAUUUCAGCUGUGUAUCAUUUUUCUAAUAAAUCAUCAGCCCGUUGUCUAUUUCUUGUGUAAUUUAUCAAUAAUGGUUCAAAGAAAUGUACAGAAAAUAUCAAAUAACCCUGCAAUUAUGUCCAUCUUCAUACAUAAUAAUGGAUAAAUUAAUCACGGUGAAUUAAAGCUCAUAUUCUGAGCUGCACUUAUUAAAAUACGUCUCACAAUAAUGGCUCAUUUCCACUGAGUGGUGCAGUUUGGUGCGCUUUUAUGGCCGUUUCCACUGUCAAAAGGCGUACCGAACCACUAUUUUGGCACCCUUUUGAAGAGUGACUCAAGAAAGGGUACCAAAAGGCGGAGCCAGACGCACAGCUGAAUGCUAUUGGUUUACAGAGAUACGUCAUCCGCUUAUGCAACAAGCCAGAAUGAAAACAAAAGCCCGCCAUGUUUAAAACACACAGCCGAGAGAUCUUUUACUGUGUAAAUAUAUAUAUAUACAUAUAAUAACAAGCCAUGGUCGACCAGGCUCAAUCAAACCUUGUCAUCUUGAUGAACAGCCACAAAGCCAAGAAGAAGUCUGCAGUUAUAAUCAUGUUCAGAGAAACGUCAGUAAUAAACAUUUAUACACGAGUGUGUGUGUGUAUAAAGCAUCUGUGUUGUGAGAAGUGCUGCUCAUAUGAUAUGUGAGCGACGCGUACAGCUUUACUGUAGACAUUUAUUCGAGCGAGCAUGACGUCGACUGAAACUUUGUCAUUCACCUCGCCCACCUAAAGGUAACGUUGGUGAUGGAAACGCAAGCCUGAUAAAGGUGACCCGUACCGACCCGAACCAUACUGUACCACUCAGUGGAAACCAGACAGUAUUGACCAUAAAUGUGAUUCUGUUAGAAAUUGUAAAGAUCUUAUGUGUUUUUGAAGGACAGUGCUGAAGAAUAAAGAUUUCUGCUCUCAAUAAUAAGUGUAUUGGUCAAACUAUGAUGAUGAAUCUGUUUUAUUAUGGACUGGACAGUUUGUGAUGCUCAAUAAAGCUUCUGAUGUGCUGAAAACA